AUAAAGACUGAAAGGGAACAAUUUGAAGCCUGACAGUGAAGAUUUCCAAGACUGACAGUGGGGAAAAAGCCAAGAUUGAAAUUGAAGUAUACCAAUGGGAUCAUGUCUGGCAUAUUUAAAUUCUGCUGACCUUGAAAACCAUACAAAGACAUGUUCACAUGAUGGUAUUUCCCAGUCCUCUAUUUAAUGAACUGAUGAAUAAGACACCUAUUGAAGAUCAACUGUUUACCCCUGAAUUGACAUUCAAAGACCAUGCAUUGUCCAGAUGGUAUUUCCCAGUCCUCUAUUUAAUGAACUGAUGAAUAAGACACCUAUUGAAGAUCAACUGUUUACCCCUGAAUUGACAUUCAAAGACCAUGCAUUGUCCAGAUGGUAUUUCCCAGUCCUCUAUUUAAUGAACUGAUGAAUAAGACACCUAUUGAAGAUCAACUGUUUACCCCUGAAUUGACAUUCAAAGACCAUGCAUUGUCCAGAUGGUAUUUCCCAGUCCUCUAUUUAAUGAACUGAUGAAUAAGACACCUAUUGAAGAUCAACUGUUUACCCCUGAAUUGACAUUCAAAGACCAUGCAUUGUCCAGAUGGUAUUUCCCAGUCCUCUAUUUAAUGAACUGAUGAAUAAGACACCUAUUGAAGAUCAACUGUUUAC